GUGCCAGCAGCCGCGGUAAUACGGAGGGUGCAAGCGUUAUCCGGAUUCACUGGGUUUAAAGGGUGCGUAGGUUGAUUGGUAAGUCAGUGGUGAAAUACUCCCGCUUAACGGGAGAACUGCCGUUGAUACUAUCAAUCUUGAAUACGGUGGAGGCGGGCGGAAUGUGUCAUGUAGUAGUGAAAUACUUAGAUAUGACACAGAACACCUAUUGCGAAGGCAGCUCGCUACGCCGUUAUUGACACUGAGGCACGAAAGCGUGGGGAUCAAACAGGAUUAGAUACCCCCGUAGUCC
rnacentral:rRNA from 1 species